ensembl:lincRNA C230029F24Rik RIKEN cDNA C230029F24 gene
AUACUUAAUUGAGAUAUGGUCCAAGAAAGCAGGAAACAAAGCAAUGUAGGUCAGAAAACAAGCAGGAGGAGGAAUGUCUUUAAAGAAAGAGUGAGAUUUUCCAGAGUGCCAAGAGACAGGGAGAGGAGAGGAGAGGAGAGAAGAAGAAGAAGGAGAAGAAGAAGAAGAAGAAGAAGAAGAAGAAGAAGAAGAAGAAGAAGAAGAAGAUAAUGCUAACAAGGAUUUUGGUUUGCUGUGGAUUCAUUUUUUUUGUGCGUGUGACUUCAUGGGAAGAAUUUUUAUAUCACAUCAGAGAAAAAGAAAUAUGGCUUUUCUUCCAUCUGGUGACAUCAUUGACAGGUACUUGAGUUAUAAUUGGGUUAUGAGAUCUCUUCCUUCAAUACUGGCUUAUUACAUGUUGAAGCAUUGUGGAGGAUGUACAUAACUGAUGUGUGUAUUUGAAAGAAUUUUUUUAUUUACCAAAGUGUUUUAUCUGAAAACAAAAACAAACAAAAAGAA